GCUCAGGAUGAACGCUAGCGGCAGGCCUAAUACAUGCAAGUCGAGGGGCAGCAUGGGUAGCAAUACCUGAUGGCGACCGGCAAACGGGUGCGGAACACGUACGCAACCUUCCUUUAAGCGGGGAAUAGCCCAGAGAAAUUUGGAUUAAUACCCCAUAGUACUGUUUGGUGGCAUCACUGGAUAGUUAAAGAUUUAUCACUUAAAGAUGGGCGUGCGUCUGAUUAGGUAGUUGGUGAGGUAACGGCUCACCAAGCCGACGAUCAGUAACUGGCGUGAGAGCGCGACCAGUCACACGGGCACUGAGACACGGGCCCGACUCCUACGGGAGGCAGCAGUAAGGAAUAUUGGUCAAUGGACGGAAGUCUGAACCAGCCAUGCCGCGUGGAGGAUGAAGGCCCUCUGGGUUGUAAACUUCUUUUAUCUGGGACGAAAUGAUUCUUUUCUAAGGGUUUUGACGGUACCAGGUGAAUAAGCACCGGCUAACUCCGUGCCAGCAGCCGCGGUAAUACGGAGGGUGCAAGCGUUAUCCGGAUUCACUGGGUUUAAAGGGUGCGUAGGCGGACUUGUAAGUCCGUGGUGAAAUCUCCGGGCUUAACCCGGAAACUGCCAUGGAUACUAUAAGUCUUGAAUGUUGUGGAGGUUAGCGGAAUAUGUCAUGUAGCGGUGAAAUGCAUAGAUAUGACAUAGAACACCAAUUGCGAAGGCAGCUGGCUACACAACUAUGACGCUGAG
rnacentral:rRNA from 1 species